rnacentral:lncRNA from 1 species
GUUUUUCAUGGAUUACGUACAUUUAUGUACCUUAAAAGGGCAACGAAUGGUAAAUAUAAUAAUGCACCUUUUUUAUUAUAUAAUUGGCCAAAAACAGGAAGAUGUGUGAGCAAAUUUUCACAAAAAAAACUAUUUGACUGUUGAUUGUAAACCGGAGAACCGGUAUAUCACAAUACCAGCUCUUGUCUUAAAUAUGCUUGAUCACCUACAGUGGCCUACAUUAGAAUUGUUCUUCUUCUGAUAUACAGUUACAGCUUCAUUGAUUGAAGAUUACGAACUGUUGCAUGCACGGAGUAUAUGAUUAAAAAUAUGAACAAAAAUUGAGACGAAUACAAACAAGACUAGUGGUAUUCUAUAAGAUCAUACACCAAGACAUAGCAAUUUACCCUAUAUAUAUAAAGAUCUUCUUGUUAAAUCAGACAGUAGAACAAGACAUAAACAUACCAACCACUUUACACUCAGCCACCAAGGCCUGCCAACAAUUAUAUGGGGAUGAAGUCCCCUAUUACAGAAAAUUCAAAAACAAAAACAAAAAAAUCGGGAAAAUUUCCCGAAUUUUUCAUGUCUAUUGAACUCAAAAUCGUUCAAUUUUUUUUGUCUUGUUUUUUAAUUUCCGGAUCUGCGCAGAACACAAAACUCUACUUCCUUCUUCGCGUCUUGUUGUCCGUGAGACUUUGAUUAAAAUAUAGAACUCAAGGAACACAAUACCAAUAUUUCAUUUUUAAUCAUUCUUUGUCUUUGGUAUGAAUAAACGUUAGGCCUACCUGAAUUGCGUUUCUUUGUUUAUUGAACAUGACGUCAUUUAAAUAACGUCACAGUAAAUCCAUAACAACAGAACCAAAAUCGGAAACGUAACAGUAUUUCCGUAUCUUUUUUUUAACAAAUAUUUAAAAUACAAAAAAAAUAAUUUAAACAAACUUCAUCCCCAUUCACAGGUAAUGCCUGCCUCAUAUUAAGUUAAAAUACAAGUACAAAUGUAGUCUAAAUAAUAAUGAAGUCUUGAAAGCUAUUAUACUUAAUUUUAUUUACAUCUAUGUCGCAGAAUGGCUGCGUCAAUGCAAAAAUUAAAAAUAGCCUUUCUAGACGUCAUAAUAAUUUGGACUACAUGUUCAUUUGUAUCUUACAAGUUGACUUCAACAAUGAGCAAAGUGCAUAAUGCAAAGUCAGCUUUAUAAGUGUAAACAAAAAUGAAGGAACUUACAGACUGAUAAUGAUUUUUAAACAAAACAAGGAACAAAUAAACAAAUAUGAUAUACUAGUAUAGCAACAAACUACAACAUGAACUGCUAAAUAACAGGCUUCUGACUUGGGACAGAAAAACAUACAGCAUGUACAGGAUGUGAUGGAGUCAAACCAGUUUGUUGGUGCCAAAUUAAACCCCCUCCUAACCUUGGAUAGUGGUGUGAAAAGGGCUUAACACAUUUGCCAUCAGAUAUGUACAAAGCAAAAAGACAUCUAACAAAAACAUAAACCAGACAGGGUAUUUAUACAUCACCACAGGCACAACAAAAAUAACCUCUUUAAGUCCAGAUUUGAGAGUUACCUCUUAGUUACUGAUAACUAGUUCAAAGCUAACAACAAGUUAUUUACCACCAAACCUUGCCUGGUUAAGGUUUAUUCCAGAUACAAGUAUAGUAAACUACAGCAUACAAAAUAGUUCAGGUUUUGGUGUAAAAUGUAUGCAAUAAUUAUAAUAGGGCAUGAAUGAGUCUGCAAGUCUGUGUCUAUCAACAUGAUCAAGGUUCAUUUAAUUUGACCUUGUCUUGAUCUCAUUUACACUGACCAAAUUUAAACAUCAUUAUGUAUACAUGUACAUGUAACUUCAAAUUUCAAAAAAGAGUGGAAACAAAAAAUCAACAAUUUUAUUAAUUCAUUUGUAAAGGAGCAUAACUCUUGAAAUGUAUAAGUAAUUCCUCUAGAAUUCAAAACUUGAUCUGUGUUACAAAGUGUAAAUUUUAUGUGGUUUAAUAUAAGCAUUGUGUGUAAUUUUCGUUGCAUUUGGUCAAAACAAACGGAAACUACAAUAAGAAAACGGAAACAAAAAAAAUCAGUCAUUUUUCAAUUUGUAAAGGGUAUAAAUCAAGAACAGUAAAAGUGAUGCCACCAAAUAUGAACUCGAUCUGAAUUUAUAAAUGUGGAAAUAAGCGGUGUGUAUAUAAGUUUCAUAACAUUUGGUUGAGGCAAACUAAAAUUAGAGAGAAAAGAACAAUAAAAAUUCAGCAAUGCAUAACUGAAGAAAGGUAAAAGUAACACCAGUGACCACCCAAUUUUUUGGGACAUACAACAAAAUGUAUGUACUGACGGAUGGACAAGGUUAAAAUUUAACACACCCUUGCUUUUCAGUAAUUACCAAACUGUCUCAUAUAAAACAUGUAAUACAUUAAUACAUGUCUGUAAUAACCAUGAUAACUAGGCCUUACAUGUUAUACAUGUACAAAUGUUACAGCUAAGUUUAAUCCCUUGAAAUCCCUUGUCUCAUGCAUUGACUAAAGAAGUUACCAUGGUUGAUUAAAAAUGUAUACAUUUAAUUUGAAAAUUUAGUUAUAAAGGCUGUGUAUUUAGUUACUGCACAUAUAAAGUUUCAAAAAUUCCCUAGUGCACACCAAAAACAAUAAAUAUAUGUUACUACCGAAGAAAAUUUUAGAAACGAAGAGUUGACAACUCAUGAAAUUAUCUGGCAUAACAACAUGCAUGUUAUUUUCACUAAUAACUUAUUUAAUAUAAAAAAAAAGAUGUGGUAUGAUUGCCAAUGAGACAACUGUCCAUAUGAUAAGAGACCAAAAUGACACAGAAAUUAACAACUAUAGGGCACUGUACGGCCUUCAACAAUGAGAAAAGCCCAUACUGCAUAGUCAGCUAUAAAAGGUCCCUAAAUGACAAUAUAAAACAAUUCAAACGAGAAAACUUAGGGCCUUAUUUUUGUACAAAAAAAUGAACACAAAACAAAUAUGUAACACAUAAACAAACGACAACCACUGAGUUACAGGCUCCUGAAUUAAGUUAUCCCCUUGACCAUGUACAUUUGUACUGUUAACUGAUGAAAAAGAUUGGCAUUAUACAUUUGUAAAUCAUAACAAGAACUUAUUUAGUCAGAGAUCAAAUUUAACCACUUUGAUACACCAUUGAAUUCAUACAACAGGCAUAUGGAUUUAAUAAGAUGGAUUAGAACAUUUAAAUAAUUUAAUACUUUUAUAUUAUACAUGUAUAUAUACUAGUAUAAUUUUUUUCCGGGCAAGUCUAGAUCUGUUGGUCUUGUUUUAAAAGAUCAAAAUAAGCCAAUUUUGCCAUAUAACAUGUAUAAAAAUAUUUAAGGCAAUUUGUCAGAUAUUUUAACUUCAUUUCAUUUUACAUUAUUUCUUUUAGCAUUUUCUAUGGAAGUACAUGUACUUCAAGAAGAAGAAGAAGCUAAGCAACAGAAUGGAAUUCUCUGAGGCAUUGCUUUCUAGAUUAUAUGAUGGAUUCAUAGAUUUUCAUAUUGAUUUAUGUGCAUAUAAAGAGCAGCCGGCAAUUAUUUUAUGACGAGAGGUAUGUACAUGUAAUAAAAAGGAUAACUUUGUUUGAAUAUUUUGUUGUUGUCAGACUAUCUACAUGUUACACAUUUUGAUUUCGUGUAAGCUGUGAAAAAAUAUUUUUUCUACUGGACCAUUUUAUUGAAAAUAGCAUUGGAAGCUCUAUAUACACUCCAUUGCUUGUUCUUUUUAUACGACCACAAACAAUUUUUGGGGAUUGUAUAAUGGUAAGGUGUUGUCGUUAUCUGCAGCGUCCGAAGACACAUUGGUUUCCGAACAAUAACUUAGGUUUAAGUGCAUAAAUCUUUAUGAAUUUUGUUUAGAAGGUCCAAUACCACAAAAAAAGGUUGGGAUGAUUUUGGGGAUGAUGGUCGGAAGUCCCAACCGUUUAGGAAUUAGGGGCCCAAAAUGGGCCAAAAACAAGCAUUUUUCUAGUUUCAGGAUAAUAGCUUGUUUAUAAGUAUUUCAAUUGCUCUGAAAUUGUACCACAAUGUUUAAAACCACAAGUACAAGGUUUUGAUUCAGUUUAGGGGUCAUGGGGCCAAAGUUUAGGAAUAAGGGGCCAAAAACAAGCAUUUUUCUAGUUUCCAGACAAUAACUUGUGUGUAAUUGUAUAGAUCUCUCUGAAAUUGUACCACAAUGUUCCAUAUAACAAAGGGAAGGCUGGGAUAGAGUUUUGGGUUAGUUGCCCAAAAUAUGCAGGAAUUAGGGGCCAAAAAAAGAAGCAUGUUUCUAGUUUCCAGACAAUAACUUGUGUUUAAGUGACUCAUAGGCGGAUUAAGGUGGGAGGCCCAGGCAGCCCUGCCCCCCUCUUUUCUGGGAAAAUUUUGGUUGAUUAUAUAGGGAAACACUGAAGCAUGUCCGGAUCAGUCCCCCUCUUAGGCAGUCACUGGGCCCCAACAUAUGAAAAUUUCUGGAUCCGCCAUCGAGUGUAUGGAUCUCUCUGAAAUUGUACUACAAGGUUCCAUACUACAAAAGAAAGGAUGGGAUUGAGUUUUAGGGUUAUUGCUCCAAGGGGAUUUCAAUAAGUUGAGGGGGGGGGGAUAGUUUGUUUACAACUUUUUUAAGGGAUUCCUUUUUUUUUUCAAAAUUUUUCAAAUUUUUGAUUUUUGAAAAGUUUCAUGCAAUAAUGUUCAGCAAAGUAAGAUCUACAAUGGUCAACAUAACCAAAUUUUCAAUGGACCCCUUAAGCAGUUGUUGCCCUUUAUAGUCAAUUUUUAACAACUUUCUCGUAAAUUUUGCAAUCUUUUCCUCUUUUGUGUUUUUGAGCAAGAACUAAAGAAGAUAAAGAGAAACUUAACAGGCUAUUAAUAAAAUAUGUUUACAGGAGUUUUGCCUCUUGGAAAUAGAUAUUGAAUUUGUAAGGAAUUGCAUCCCACACAUGUCUACUUUUCUUGUAGAUUAUUUUUAUAAUUUAUGAAAAAAUGUUAAAAAAAAAGAACAUACUUAUUUGUUGUGGUUAUUGCUUUUUGACAGCAAAUUUUAUAUAUCCAUCAAUUGGUGAGGUACAUUGAAACACUGUUCUUUUAUUAAAUGCAUGAAGUAUACAGAUGGUAACACAAAUGACAACAUGUUAUUUUCAUGAGUUUAAUAUUUAUAUAUGUUGUAUUUCAACAAUUUUGCCUAUGAAACAGCAAAUCAAGAUUUAAUAAACCAGGAGUUAAUGCCUAAAUGGAUUUUUUUAAACUUAGGCAGAAGAAAUAGUUUUUUUAUAUAUACAUGAUAUAUGAAAAGUUCAUGCUAUACAUAUAUUUGUUGAUUUGUUUAUAAAUUGUUUCCAUUAACUCAAAAGUAAAAAGUAUUAAUUAGUGAGCAUCAGUUCAUACUACAUGUACAUUUAGUUUUUGUCUGGACUUUUGGAUUAACUUAAAAUUUAUAAUUUUAGCUUGUUACCAAAUGAAAGGAAAGUGCAGUAUUAGAAUCACUGGUGUACAUGCUAUGGUGUACAUGUACAUGAAGGUGCAGAUGUCCUGUAAAAAAAAACUGGUAUCAAAAGUAAGUUCAUAUGUAGAAUUGUAUUUGAUUUAAAUAAUUUAAUGUUAUCUAUUCAAAACUUUUUCAAGUGUAAUUGUACAUGUAUACAGUUGUUUAUUUUUCUGUCAUUUUGAUGUCAAGUAUGCAUCGAGAAAUCCUUACCAGUCUCAUCUGCUUCUGCUGCACACGCAUGAGAAAUGAGAAGCUCAAAUAAUUAUAGCAUUUGCAUCACAGACCGUAUAUUAUGAAUUGUAUAUUUAACAUGAUCAAAAGUUGUUCUUGUCUUGAAUAUAUACAUUAAAUAUUUGCCACUGUACCUUAAAAUAAACAAGAAAAAUUAAUUUGAUAAUUUUCUUUUAACCAUAGAGCAUUUUUAAAGAACUAGAAUAUUGAUAUAAGGAGAUGGCGUAUGAUCCUCAAUGUGACAACUAUCAAUUAAAAAACUAAAGAACGAAGAUAAAACAUUUACUUGUCACUGUUCAGCAAUGAACAAUAAUCAAAAUCCAUACCAUAAAGUAACCUUCAACUUGUUUAAGAAUGCAAAAUGUGAACCAUUGAAAAAUUAAAACUACAUAUAUUGUAUGGCAGACAUUAAUUAAUAUGUUUAUAGAAUGAUUGUAGGUUGCACUUUGUAAAUACAGCUGUUUUUCAAAACACGCCUCUUUUGGGGAGUAAUUGAAAUAACCUUUCAUUCGAGGUAGGGUAUUAAAAAAAUUAGUGUAAGUUUAAACUCUGAGAGUUCAGGCAUAUAAACCUUGAAAAUAUGCCGCACAGCCCUAUAUUUUGACCUUUGAAAAAAAAUGUGGUGCAUAUGAACUUUCAAUUCUAGGAUAAGAUUUUUUUCAAAACUUCAUAGUAAAAGUGGUACAGUUUUAGCCGUAAAAGGAGUUCCUAUGGGAAAUUGCAUUGUCAAUAUUUACAGAAAUGCAACCUAUAUAGGGUGAAAAAGGGGAACAUUCAGAAUUUAACCAAAUUUGCUUUAUUUCACAGAUUUUAAAGAAAUUAACUCAAAUAAGAAGUUUUAUAAAUAUUUAAUGAAGAUUGAUAGAAUCCCGGGCCUUAAAUAUGAUGACUCAGCAUAAAUUCACAGUUUACAGUAUGCAAAGUUUACUCAAAGUCCUGGAUACAAAAUUAAAUCAUAAUAUUUGCAUAUUUUUGUAAGUUAAAUUGUUAAGAAGUGCUAUAUAUUUACUCUUCGCAGUCAUUGAAACUCAUAGAUCCUUCCUGAAUAUUAUUUAUGGGGUAUUUGUGUCCUUUCGAUAACCCAAAAGUAAGCCGCAACACCUAAAUAUGCUUUUUUGUCACCAAGGCAUAAUAAAUACAAGCUAGAAAAACAAAAUAUCUCAAGAAAACUUACAAUAGUGUGUUCUAUCCUGAAUAUGUACUAAAUAUUCCAAAUUGCUAGAAACAGCAGAAUGAUUUAGGAAAUUUGAGGCCCCAGGGGCAAAAAACAUAGAAAAUUGCCUACCCUCUGUGUCAUAAAACAAAUAAUUUAACUUGUAAAUGCUAUGAUUUGAUGAUUUUAAAGUUCUUGAUAUAGAAAACAAUAACUUUGCUUGGAAGUUAUGCAAAAAUCAGAUGUUAGCAGUCAUCUCUACAACAUUUUAAGUGAAUUUAUAUCUCAGACUGGUAUCUGCAUACAUACAACUAUUGCAAAAUGGCUUUGUUUGAACACUUCUAGUAUAUAUAGUAGCUAAAUUGUGUCAGAUAUAUGGUUACAGAUGAUACUGUUUGUGACAAGAAUUCUAAAUUGACCAUUUGAGGCAGAAAAUGUGUCCUUCAAUUGACAAAUAGGCAUACAGUAAGAUGUGGACUGGAGAUAGAGGCUGGAUUGGAUACUUUAUAUAAUCUUGAAUGUUGUAAUGAUUGACUGCUAAACAUUACAUUGAUGAUAUUCUGAUAUGCUUUCAAUAUGUUAUCAAAACAGUUUUUAACAGGUUCUAGGCAUUUUUUAUCAGAAAAUAUGCAAAUAGGGUAAACUGGCAAUAAUUAAAGUUUUGAUUUCAAAUUCUUUAAAAAAUUGAAACAGGGGAGGGGGUAUAAAAUGUAUAGUAAAGAAAAAUUUAGAGUAUACACAGUGAUUUCUUUAAGACUUUAAUUCUGAUAAAUGAGUAUUAAUGUGAGAAAAACUGAUUUUAGAGAGUUUUCUAUUUGAAUAAAUGUCUGUAUAGGUUGCACUUUGUAAAUACAGCUGUUUUUCAAAACACGCCUCUUUUGGGGAGUAAUUGAAUAUUCAUAGAAAAUUGAUUUUGUUUACAUACUGGUUCCCAGUUAUGCUCCCUGUGUUCCAUAUCGCAGAGACAGAACUUGGGAAUGUUACCAGUAAAUAAACACGUGCAUAUUGUUUACAUUGAAAUCUGUGGUAACCUUUCAUUCGAGGUAGGGGGUAGUUUAAGAAAAUUAGUGUAAGUUUAAACUCUGAGAAGUUCAGGCAUAUAAACCUUGAAAAUAUGCCGCACAGCCCUAUAUUUUGACCUUUGAAAAAAAUGUGGUGCAUAUGAACUUUCAAUUCUAGGAUAAGAUUUUUUUCAAAACUUCAUAGUAAAAGUGGUACAGUUUUAGCCGUAAAAGGAGUUCCUAUGGGAAAUUGCAUUGUCAAUAUUUACAGAAAUGCAACCUGUAAGGUGUUUAUAUUUGUUUUGCAGGUGCAAUUCUUGCAAGAUUUUUAUAAAAUUUAUACUAUACUUUAAUAUCAGCAAUAUCUUGGUCAAGUUCACUACUUUUGACCGAUUGACUAUUUUCAAAAGAGUUAUGCCCCUUGAAAAUAUUAAAUAAAGGAAAAUGGCCUUGUAAGCGCUCUCAUCGGUUCAAUUUUUUAUAAAACACAUACAUUGUAGUAUACUGUAAGUAAUGCCCUUGAAGGUCUGUUUGAAAUAUUUCGUAUACAAGAAAAAGAAGUUUUUUUCCAAGCACACUUUUUUAUUUAUAAUUUUAUUCAAGUGCCUCUUUUUAAUUAUUGCCCCUUGCUAAAUAAAAUAUGUGCAACUCAGUGAACAUUGAAAACUCUGUUCUGUUAUUUUUAUUUUCAGGAACUGAAAAGUAAAGAAACAGAACCAAAGAAGAUUCAUUUUAAAUUAAUACAAUAUUGAACUCAAAAGUCAAUCUAGUUGUCUUUCCAUUAUAGAUAUAAGAAGAUGUGGUAUUAGUGCCAAUGAAACAACUCUCCUUCCAGGUCAUAAUUUGUAAAAGUAAACCAUUACAGGUCAAAAUACAGUUUUCAAAACAGAGCUCACACGAAACAGCAAGCCAUUAAGGGCCACAAAAGCGGCAGCAUACACUAGCACCUGUAAUAGCUAGCAGUGUAGACAAUUACAUAUCAAUGUGUAUGGUGAUAUAGCAAUAGAAAUAUCACAUCCAUCAGAGGGAAAUAGAAUAUAGACAAUAGAAAUAUCACAUACAUCAGAGGGAAAUAGAAUAUAGACUGUCACAAUAGAAAUAUCACAUACAUCACAAUAGAAAUGGUGUAUGUCACAGAGACAAACAUACGAAAAUAAAAUAUAGACAAUAAAAAUUUGAUAUGUCAUAGAGAUGAAAAUAGAAUAUAGACAAUAGAAAAUUAGGGUAUGUCAAAGAGGCAAACAUAGAAUGGGAUAUGUCAAAGAGACAAAACCAUGAAAAUAGAAUAUAGACAAUAGAAAUGGGAUAUGUCAAAGAGACAAAAAUAUGAAAAUAGAACAUAGGCAAUAGAAAUGAGUAUGUCAAAGAGACAAAAAUAUGAAAAUAGAAGAGAC